rnacentral:tRNA from 1 species
GGAGAGAUGGCCGAGUGGUCGAAGGCGCUCCCCUGCUAAGGGAGUAUAGGCUCAAAAGGCCUAUCGAGGGUUCGAAUCCCUCUCUCUCCGCCA